rnacentral:lncRNA from 1 species
UGUUGAUAUAUUACAGGGUUUAAGUAGUUAUUGAGAUAUUACAUGUCAGGGUUUUAGUAGUUAUUGAUAUAUUACAGGUCAGGGUUUUAGUAGUUAUUGAUAUAUUACAGGUUUUAGUAGUUAUUGAGAUACUACAGGUCAGGGUGUUAGUAGUUAUUGAGAUAUUACAGGUCAGGGUGUUAGUAGUUAUUGAUAUAUUACAGGGUUUUAGUAGUUAUUGAGAUAUUACAGGGUUUUAGUAGUUAUUGAGAUAUUACAGGUCAGGGUUUUAGUAGUUAUUGAUAUAUUACAGGGUUUUAGUAGUUAUUGAGAUAUUACAGGGUUUUAGUAGUUAUUGAGAUAUUACAGGUUUUAGUAGUUAUUGAGAUAUUACAGGUUUUAGUAGUUAUUGAGAUAUU